UCCAUCUGUGGUUAUUGAAACCACUUGUUUUGGCUCUAUUCCUCUUUUUGUUAACAUCUCCUUAAUGGCCAGGUAGAUAUCCUCUCCUCUUGUACUGGUCUGAAGGGGAGUGACACCUAACAUGUCUUCACAGAAUGUUUUCUGGGCUGUGUUGAAAAACCUGGCAAACACUAACAGCUGAGCAUUGUCACAUAUGUCAGUGGACUCAUCCACAGCUAAGCCUACACAUGGUGCCUUAUGCAUGGCUUCAUCUAGCUGGGUUAGCACAUCCUGAGUUAAUAUUUCACUUUUCUUUGUGGCAGAUGAUGCUGACAUGGGAAUUUGCUUUAUUUUAUCACAAAGCUCAUUUUUUUGUUUUCCCUCAAGUAGUGUUUCAGCUACUGCACUCAUGCAUUCUUUGACAACCCCUCCAUCUGUAAAUGGCUUUUUGUGUUUACCCAAAAUCCAAGAAACUCUGAGGGAACACUCAAGAGCACGUUGUUGGGCAGUGAAUGUGUUGCUCAGGAUCCUGGUGGACUGAAAUGAGUCUGUCCAUUCUGGAUUAAAUGCUCUGUUUUCAUUGUCCACUUUUCUUUUUUUGGAGAGUGCCAUUUGUUCCUUAUUUUCUCUAACUGUUACCCUUUUUCUGCCUCACUCGUCUGUUUCGCUCCCUUUCUCCGUCUCACUCAUAUUUUCGUCAACUUUCUCCGUCUCACUCGUAUUUUCCUCAGCUUUCUCCGGCACACUCGUCUGUAUCUCUCC